GACGAACGCUGGCGGCGUGCCUAAUACAUGCAAGUUGAGCGCUGAAGGUUGGUACUUGUACCAACUGGAUGAGCAGCGAACGGGUGAGUAACGCGUGGGGAAUCUGCCUUUGAGCGGGGGACAACAUUUUGAAACGAAUGCUAAUACCGCAUAAAAACUUUAAACACAAGUUUUAAGUUUGAAAGAUGCAAUUGCAUCACUCAAAGAUGAUCCCGCGUUGUAUUAGCUAGUUGGUGAGGUAAAGGCUCACCAAGGCGAUGAUACAUAGCCGACCUGGGAGGGUGAUCGGCCACAUUGGGACUGAGACACGGCCCAAACUCCUACGGGAGGCAGCAGUAGGGAAUCUUCGGAAAUGGACGAAAGGCUGACCGAGCAACGCCGCGUGAGUGAAGAAGGGUUUCGGAUCGUAAAACUCUGUUGGUAGAGAAGAAAGUUGGUGAGAGUGGAAAGCUCAUCAAGUGACGGUAACUAACCAGAAAGGGACGGCUAACUACGUG
rnacentral:rRNA from 1 species